AAACUUCAAAUACCGCCCUUGUCGUUUAAUGUGUAUAUAAAAUAUCUCAUAAUUUUUUUUUUUUUAUCCCCUCCAUUACUUUUUUUCAUUAAAUCAGUGAUGAAGUUAAAAUUAAAAGAUGCUAAAGUAAAUAUUCGAUAAACCUAGGUGGAAUAUCUAAAGUAUUUUUUGUAUAUAAUUUAACGAAAUGUUAACGGAGCUGACGAAAAGAGAAAAAUGAGCGAAUCAUAGAACUCAUCGAACUAUCUCAACGAAAAUUCCUCAA
rnacentral:lncRNA from 1 species